AUCACUUCUCAGCCUUUUGGCUAAGAACAAGUGUAGUAUCUGUUCUUAUCAGUAUAAAUAAAUGAAGAAUCUGUGCUCAUGUUCAUGGACUGAAACGCUCAAUGUAGUAAAGAUGUCAAUUCUCCCCCAAACUGAUAUGCAGGUUUAAUGCAAUUCCUAUCAAAAUCCCAGCAAGUUGUU
rnacentral:snRNA from 10 species